rnacentral:rRNA from 1 species
GUUGAACGCUGGCGGAAUGCUUUACACAUGCAAGUCGAACGGCAGCACGGACUUCGGUCUGGUGGCGAGUGGCGAACGGGUGAGUACCAUAUCGGAACGUAUCCAAUAAUGGGGGAUAACGAGUCGAAAGAUUCGCUAAUACCGCAUACGCCCUACGGGGGAAAGCUGGGGACCUUCGGGCCUGGCGUUAAUGGAGCGGCCGAUAUCUGAUAGCUAGUUGGUGAGGUAAAGGCUCACCAAGGCGACGAUCAGUAGCUGGUCUGAGAGGACGACCAGCCACACUGGAACUGAGACACGGUCCAGACUCCUACGGGAGGCAGCAGUGGGGAAUUUUGGACAAUGGGCGAAAGCCUGAUCCAGCCAUUCCGCGUGCAGGAUGAAGGCCCUCGGGUUGUAAACUGCUUUUGUACAGAACGAAAAGGUUUCUACUAAUACUAGGAGCUCAUGACGGUACUGUAAGAAUAAGCACCGGCUAACUACGUGCCAGCCGCCGCAGUAA